CCCCACUCUGCAAACUGUGUUUUGAAUCUGAACUUGUACUCAGCUGAGUCAGUCUCUCUCAGGUCUGUGAUUCUCAGGGUACAGUCACUCAUAUUAUCUCCAAGGUACUUCACACGACCUGAAUACUCUGGCAAUGAACUCAGGUUUGUUGGUGCCUCAUCACGUUCUCCUUGUAUAUACCAGUUCAUUUCUAUGACUGUGUGGUUAUUUGGAUGUUGGUAUGUGCAGGGAAGAUCUACUGUUGAGCCGAUCAAGGCAGAUAUUCUCUGAUGGGUGUAAGUAACAUUGAAACAGGUUUUACAGAGAACACCUGAAAUAUACAAGAAUCCUGUCAAUGUCUGUAAAUAGUCUGACAUUUGUUUAAAUCAGUUAAUCUGGACCGGAAUAAUUGUUAUGGGUAGUAACAAUGUAAAUCAGAUGCAAAAAUUUAUAAACUGCACUUGGAUCCAGGCUUACAG
ensembl:lncRNA